GACGAACGCUGGCGGCGUGCUUAACACAUGCAAGUCGAACGAUGAAGAAGAGCUUGCUCUUCGGAUUAGUGGCGAACGGGUGAGUAACACGUGACUAACCUGCCCCUUUCUCUGGGAUAACGCUCCGAAAGGAGUGCUAAUACCGGAUACUCACAUCGAGGCACAUGCCUUGAUGUGGAAAGUUUUUCGGAAAGGGAUGGAGUCGCGGCCUAUCAGCUUGUUGGUGAGGUAACGGCUCACCAAGGCGACGACGGGUAGCCGGCCUGAGAGGGCGACCGGCCACACUGGGACUGAGACACGGCCCAGACUCCUACGGGAGGCAGCAGUGGGGAAUAUUGCACAAUGGGCGAAAGCCUGAUGCAGCGACGCCGCGUGAGGGAUGAAGGUCUUCGGAUUGUAAACCUCUUUCAGUAGGGGCGAAGCGAAAGUGACGGUACCUAAAGAAGAAGCACCGGCUAACUACGUGCCAGCAGCCGCGGUAA
rnacentral:rRNA from 1 species